AAGGCUUUAGCUUAAUUAAAGCGUCCGGAUUGCAGUCGUAUCAUGUGGGUUAAAGUCCCGCUUGCCUUA
rnacentral:tRNA from 1 species